rnacentral:rRNA from 1 species
CCCUUAGAUGUUCUGGGCCGCACGCGCGCUACACUGACGAAGUCAGCGAGCAUGUCCUACGCCGACAGGUGCGGGGAAUCUUGUCAAACUUCGUCGUGAUGGGGAUUGAUUAUUGAAAUUCUUGAUCAUCAACGAGGAAUUCCUAGUAAGCGCAAGUCAGCAGCUUGCGUUGAUUACGUCCCUGCCCUUUGUACACACCGCCCGUCGCUCCUACCGAUUGAAUGCUCAGGUGAGCCAUUCGGACCUUCAUCAUGCCGGUUUCCGGUUUUGAUGAGGGAAAGUCUUGCGAACCUUAUCAUUUAGAGGAAGGAGAAGUCGUAACA